CCUACGGGAGGCAGCAGUGAGGAAUAUUGGGCAAUGGGCGCAAGCCUGACCCAGCGACGCCGCGUGGGCGAAGAAGGCCUUCGGGUCGUAAAGCCCUUUGGACAGGGACGAGUGAGGACGGUACCUGUCGAACAAGUCUCGGCUAACUACGUGCCAGCAGCCGCGGUAAAACGUAGGAGGCGAGCGUUAUCCGGAUUCACUGGGCGUAAAGCGCGCGUAGGCGGUCGGGUAAGUCGGAUGUGAAAGCCCCUGGCUCAACUGGGGGAGGCCAUUCGAUACUGCUCGGCUUGAGGGUGAGAGAGGGGAGUGGAAUUCCCGGUGUAGCGGUGGAAUGCGUAGAGAUCGGGAGGAACACCAGUGGCGAAGGCGGCUCUCUGCCUCACUCCUGACGCUGAGUGCGCGAAAGCGUGGGGAGCAAACGGGAUUAGAUACCCCUGUAGU
rnacentral:rRNA from 1 species